rnacentral:sRNA from 1 species
AAAUUAGACAACAUUGCGGGAUUAAAAUGGGAACAUUUGCAAAAAAGAAUAAAUUGAAUAGUAGUUCCAAGUGGUUUACAUGAGGACAAAAAAUUAGACCGUAGUUUUAUGCUG